UACGUAGGCAGCGAGCGUUGCUCGGAGUUACUGGGCGUAAAGGGUGUGUAGGCGGUUCUCUAAGUUUGGUGUGAAAUCUCCCGGCUCAACCGGGAGGGUGCGCCGAAAACUGGAGGGCUAGAGUGCGGGAAGGGAGAGUAGAAUUCCUGGUGUAGCGGUGAAAUGCGUAGAUAUCAGGAGGAAUACCGGUGGUGUAGACGGCUCUCUGGACCGCGACUGACGCUGAGACACGAAAGCGUGGGUAGCAAACAGG
rnacentral:rRNA from 1 species